CUCUCAUCAUCCCCUCCCUCAGAAAAACCCUAACUCAAGUUGCGCCUCCCUCAGGAAAAAAAAAACCCUCACUCAAGAUUUGUUUAACCAGUGAUGAAGAAACGAAACCAAAUCUCAAAUUCAGAGAAGAAAGAAACGAAGCCAUGGCGGCUCCAUAACUCAGAGAAAUCGAGAAGAUGAAGAUUAAUCUGCUACUGUGGGUCUGGUGAUUUUGAGAUGCAAGUGUCGUAGAAAAGACGAUGGAAAUUGCUAGAGAGACCAAUCUUUCUGUUGAUGAGGAAAUCAGAUCGAGAUGAAAUGGAUUCGACUGAAUUGCAAGAGCUGAAAGAAGAUUAGUGAUGGGGUAAAUUUGAGUUGUCUAUUGCUGUUGUUGAGAAGAGAUCGAUAUGGAUUCUUGAACUCAACAGGGUUUUGAUGAUUGAAUCUGGAGAAAUUUAGGGUUCGAAAUUGAAAUGUAUUUGGGGUUUGUUUAACUGCGUACAAGGGAGAAAAAACUGAAUCUGAGAUGGGUUUGUGCAGAUUGGUUCAGAUUUAGGGUUUAUAGUUAUUCGAUUCAAGAUGGGUGUGUUGAAUUUCUGAAUCUGUUGUUGUUGAUGGAGUUGCAGGUGGAUCUAUGAAUCGUGAUAUCUGGUUGAUUGGUUAGGGAUUGAAUAAAUGGUGAAGCUAUAAUCUGGUAAUGAUGCUGAGAAGAAGGGGGCUUGCCAUGGUGAAUGAAUCUGCAAACCAUUUGAGAGAGAUGAGUAAGGGAUGAUGAGGAGAUGAAUCUGUUGUUGUCAAUCGAUUCUCAAAUGAAACUGGUGGUGUUGAUGUUGGAUUUAAGCUGAAGAUGGGUACUGUUGGCUGAGAUUCUGAUGCAUCUGCUGAGUUCUUCGGAGGAGUUCGUCGCUUUAGCGCUGAUGUAUCUCAUCAUGCAACCCUCAAAGUUACAGAUGGUCUAACCUGGAAUGUUAAGUUGAAGAGAGGCUCAAAUGGCUUUCAAAUUGGUCGGUUAGUCCCAUUUAUUGAGUACUACUCUAUAAAUGGACAUCUUUUGCUGUUCAAGUACCAUGGAGAUUGACAGUUCCAAGUUGUAAUAUUAGACAUAAGUGCUUGUGAAAUAGAGUAUCCUGCUGCUGAUGAGGAUAAUAGUGAUGACCACAGCCUUGAAGGAGGAUCCACUUGAAUCAAGAGCAGUGACGAAGAAUAAGAAGACUAUUGCGUUCAUGCUAACACUGAUGAAGAUGGAGAUGAAUCAUCUGAAUCACCAUUGUCAUCAUCAGAGGAGGAGGAAGAAGUCGGAGUUGCUGAGAAGAAGAACAAGAAGAAGCACAGUCAUUUGAGGACUAAAGAUGAGGAUACCGCAUUGAGAACUACACGACAAAGAGCAGUUGUUAUCGGUGAUGAAUUCCAGUCCGUGAUUCCUUUUUUUACAAUUGCUCUACAACCAUCUUGUAUCAAUCGCAAAUACUUGGGAAUGGGAGCUAAGAGUCUAUGUAGAUUGUUAGUUGAACUCAUCUUUAGGUAUCCAUUGCAGUAUUGAGUUGUUGGUUAGCUGCUUAUGUUCGUACAGCGCAUUCAGGAUCUCCAGAACACCUAGCUUUCAUGCUAAAAUGAUUAUUAAAGUUACAUUUCGACUAAACGAAAACUUUAAUUGUGACCUGGAUCAUCAUAUCAUAACACGGAUUGUGGAUUGAGCCCUGAUUCACCAAGAGAAUUUGUUGGUUGUAGCUCCUCCAUUUUCAAUAUUAUGCCUGUGUUCUUUACCUUAUCGCUGACCAGUCGACCUUGGGUACUCUCUCUGCUCCCAGAUUUCGAAGGAAAAUCUGUUUUGGAGCUAGGUGCAGGUAUUGGUCGUUUCACUGGUGAGUUGGCUAAGGAGGCUGGUCAAGUGAUAGCGCUGGACUUCAUUGAGAAUGUUAUCAAGAAG